CUCCCCCGCAUCGGGGAGUAGCCACCGCCCUCGGGCGGGGCCGCGUCAACACACUCGCAUUCGCGUGGCGCGGUCAGCCGGACGUCGGUCCGGCCCGGCCAGACCGUGGCGACACCG
rnacentral:misc_RNA from 1 species